rnacentral:antisense_RNA from 1 species
UGUUAUGGCGGCUGUGCGUGGGACACCUUCGGGUGUGCCGGGUGCCUAUACCCCCGGUCGGCCAACCCGCGUACAGUCGUCACCAAU